rnacentral:rRNA from 1 species
AUGGAGAUGGAGGGCUCGCCCCCUCGCGUGCUCCUCCACGGAGUGCUAGCAGCCCACACGGCGUACAUCAGCCAUCCGUUUCGUCCGUCCCAUGCGCCGGCUGCCGGUGGCUACCGCUCUGUUCUGUUCAUCCCCCGCCCGCCGCACGCGAUGGCCCACACUGCCAUGUUGUUUUGCUGCAGCCAGACCGCCAUCGCUGCCCUCGCGCUCCGGGCAGAGGCUCGUUCUUGCUGGUACGCGUUCCUCCCGACGGUGGCGCUCUGCCCACUGCGUCGCCUUUCUUCCAGCGGCUGCGCCGUUCAACCCCUACCUCUAACCUAUUGA